rnacentral:rRNA from 1 species
UAUCUCUGUAGAGUCUGCAUAUCAAUAAGCGGAGGAAAAGAAACUAACUAGGAUUCCCUCAGUAACGGCGAGUGAAGCGGGAAGAGCUCAAAUUUGAAAUCUUCAAGGUUCUACCUUGACGAAUUGUAGUUUAAAGAAGUGUUUUCUGUUGGAGUUUUGGUAAAAGUUCUUUGGAAUAGGACAUCAUAGAGGGUGAGAAUCCCGUACUUGACCAUUAUUUCCAGCUUUGUGAUACACUUUCAAAGAGUCGGAUUGUUUGGGAAUGCAGUCCAAAAUGGGUGGUGAAUUUCAUCUAAAGCUAAAUACUGGCGAGAGACCGAUAGCGAACAAGUACCGUGAGGGAAAGAUGAAAAGGAACUUUGUAAAGAGAGUUAAACAGUACGUGAAAUUGUCAAAAGGGAAGCGUUUGACACCAGUGUUGUUUUCUCGAAAAUCAAUUAAAAAAGGCAGGAUUUUGUGUUGUAUUGACUUUAUCAGCUUUCUGCACUCUUUUCUUGUCUUUUUAAUGCACUUUUCGUUUAACAAGUCAACAUCAAUUUCUUUUGUUGUAAAAGGGUCAUUGGAAGGUGGCUUUCUUUUCGGAGAAAGUGUUUAUAGCCUUUGGCCUCUGCAAUCGGAGAGAUUGAGGUCUGCAGCGUAGAUCCUUCGGGGUUAGGAUACAUUUGUGCUAAGUUAUAGCCUUUCAUAGACAACUUGUUGACUAUGAUCAGUCAUGUAGCUUACUCGCUUAUGCUAUUUUACCUACGCUUAGGAUGUUGACGAUCAGCUGAGCGCG